rnacentral:rRNA from 1 species
AGCGAACGCUGGCGGCAGGCUUAACACAUGCAAGUCGAGCGGGCCCUUCGGGGACAGCGGCAGACGGGUGAGUAACACGUGGGAACGUACCCUUUGGUUCGGAAUAACGCUGGGAAACUAGCGCUAAUACCGGAUACGCCCUUUUGGGGAAAGGCUUGCUGCCGAAGGAUCGGCCCGCGUCUGAUUAGCUAGUUGGUGGGGUAAUGGCCUACCAAGGCGACGAUCAGUAGCUGGUCUGAGAGGAUGAUCAGCCACACUGGGACUGAGACACGGCCCAGACUCCUACGGGAGGCAGCAGUGGGGAAUAUUGGACAAUGGGCGCAAGCCUGAUCCAGCCAUGCCGCGUGAGUGAUGAAGGCCUUAGGGUUGUAAAGCUCUUUUGUCCGGGACGAUAAUGACGGUACCGGAAGAAUAAGCCCCGGCUAACUUCGUG